rnacentral:rRNA from 1 species
AGAGUUUGAUCCUGGCUCAGAACGAACGCUGGCGGCGCGCCUAAUACAUGCAAGUCGAGCGAGAAGGUGUAGCAAUACACUUGUAAAGCGGCGAACGGGUGAGGAAUACAUGGGUAAUCUACCAUCGAGUGGGGAAUAACCAACCGAAAGGUUGGCUAAUACCGCGUACGCUUCCGAAUCUUCGGGUUUGGAAGGAAAGCCGUGCUGUGAGUACGGCGCUCUUUGAUGAGCUCAUGUCCUAUCAGCUUGUUGGUAGGGUAACGGCCUACCAAGGCUUUGACGGGUAGCUGGUCUGAGAGGACGAUCAGCCACACUGGCACUGCGACACGGGCCAGACUCCUACGGGAGGCAGCAGUAAGGAAUAUUGCGCAAUGGGCGAAAGCCUGACGCAGCGACGCCGCGUGGGGGAUGAAGGUCUUCGGAUUGUAAACCCCUUUCGGGAGGGAAGAUGGAGCGAGCAAUCGUUCGGACGGUACCUCCAGAAGCAGCCACGGCCAACUUCGUGCCAGCAGCCGCGGUAAUACGAAGGUGGCAAGCGUUGUUCGGAUUCACUGGGCGUACAGGGUGUGUAGGCGGUUUGGUAAGCCUUCUGUUAAAGCUUCGGGCCCAACCCGGAAAGCGCAGAGGGUACUGCCAGGCUAGAGGGUGGGAGAGGAGCGCGGAAUUCCCGGUGUAGCGGUGAAAUGCGUAGAGAUCGGGAGGAAGGCC